rnacentral:pre_miRNA from 1 species
AUCACCUGGGGAUCUUGUUAAAAUGCAAAUUCUGAUCCAGUGGGUCUUGGGUGGGCCCAAGAUUCUACAUUUCUAACAAGCUCCUAGGUGAUGCAAC